GGAUGUGAGGGCAAUUUGGUUGCGAAGUCUGUCACCGCAUUGAUUGCCGGGGUUGAUCCAGCUGAUCUGGCUGGCUAGGAGGGUGUCCCCUUUCUCCCUCAACACUCCAUGUGCAUCCCUCCCGAAGCUGCCUGCUUGGGCAAAGAGGACAACCAGCCCCAAAAGAGGAGGACCAUUCCUGGUCAAGGGUAUAUGCAUAGCUGCACUUCCCUUCUAGAAUUUCCAAACAAGCUCUCAAGAUUAUAGAAUUAAUAAGUGCCAGAGCUAGAAACUUAAAUCCUUAUCUUCCUGCCUUA
rnacentral:snRNA from 1 species